rnacentral:rRNA from 1 species
AUGGCUAAAUAUUGGUGGGGAAGCUCCUUAGACAAGAAAUUGCUACAUUGGUUAUCAUGGGAGAAACUAACACAUGCCAAGUCUGAAGGUGGAAUGGGUUUCAGGGACCCUCAUAUAUUCAAUCUUGCAAUGUUGGGCAAACAGGGUUGGCGUCUCCUGACUAACCCAAACUCACUUUGCACAAGACUACUGAAAGGAAAGUAUUUUCCUCACACAGAUUUUCUUCACGCCACAGUGCCAAAAAGAGCGUCUUCUACUUGGAAAGCAAUAGUGGCCGAUAGGGAAGCUUUGGAGACCGGAUUGGUCCAUAGGAUUGGGGAUGGUUCUUCCAUAUCAAUCUGGAAUGAUCCUUGGAUCUCCACCACAGCAACUCUGAAAUCGAUUGGUCGGCAAGGAGGUGUAGUUUUAAACACAGUUUAA